UGUUCCUCAAGUCUUUCUUCCCCCUGCCCAUGCUCCUGUUUCUUAUAUAUGACAUUAAGGAAGAAUCAUGGCAACACAUCUAAAACCUUCAAGUCUGGCCAUGGGAACACAGGAAGUAGAUAGUGUAGUACAGAUAUCAAAUGUGAAUAGAGAAAAGAAUUGUAUACUCCAUGUGGUCCUUUGCUUUAUUGAUGUUGGUAAUUUUUGAAUAACAUAAGGAUUUGGGAAUUUAUAAUUGAAGUAGGUACACCAUAUUUACACUGUUAUUCUCAGUCUAUAGAUGGGCCCACUUUGUUUCCAAAAUCAUAGCAGAGAAUGGAAUUUGAAAACAGAAUUUUUGAGUACAUAUUCAGGAAUAUUUAUAAUGUCCCCUAUGAAGGAAUGUACAAUAGGAAAGUGAAAUACAAUAUUCAUUCAACGAAAGGUGUGUAGGUAAAGUACUGGCCUUUAUAAAAUUAAGAAAACCUAGAAAAUUGAACUGUAUGUCACAGGAAUUGACCUGGGAAUAAAAAUAUUAUCCAGAAGAAUCUCCUCCACUCCAAGUUCCUAAAUAAUUUCUAUCCAUGCCAUGCCCCUGACUCAUUUUCUCCAUUCAGAAGUCACUAGCUUUAGAGAGAUGGAGAACGAAAGUUUCCACUGUGUCACAGGAGACAUACCUAAAUUGGCACCCUCAAAACUGGUUAAUGUAAGGAAAGCUGUUUAGAGUCAGGCCAUGGCAGUUCUCAGUGACAAUAUCAUUAGGCUCUCCCUGAAAAAUCUCUUGUAUCCUUGAGAGCACUAGCUUCUUCUGUGAUGUAAUAAGUGUUGUCCUGACUGCAAAUGCCUCUCAGAUAUUACUUCAGUACCUAUAGGUUUUACUAAUUGGCCUCAAAUUCAGGGGAAACAGUCAUUAGGGAGGGAGAACAAAGACGAUGAAGAAAUCAGAGAUGGGGAGAACGAAGCUGGUCUUCUGUCUUGGUAUAAAAGAAGGAAGAAAUACAUCAUCCCUGAGAAAUCUCACUGAAGCCUUGGUAGGAGUGGAAUAUGAAAAAUAGUCCUGAGGAAGGAGGGACAACAAGUAUUGUAUCGUCAUGGCAUCUCAAGAAAAACUCUCAAAACUCAUCCUGGCUGACAAUGUAGAUUAGACGCAUCAGAUGAAAUGAAUUGAAAAACUCUCCUGGGAAUGAAAGUGGUAAGGAAAUCACAUUGAUGUAUCCUAAAUGCAGUGCUAAGAGCAAUAUUCAGACUAGUCUGUGGAGAUGCUGCUGUCAUCAGAGACCACAGACAAUUAGUGGAGAAUGAUUCAGCAUUAAACUGGGAAUGGAAGAUGAUGGUUGAUAUUGUUCUAGUAGAUCUCACUACAUUAAAAAGUGUUUCUUCCAGAUAACUGAAUGAUUAUUGUAAAGCAAAUCCCGGAAUGAACUUAUGAGACCCACCAUCAGCCUGUCAAAUAAUGUGCGAAAGAAGAAAUCUGUGUCUCUCCAGGGACAAAUUGUUGCUUUCAAACCAACAGUAAAGUGUCCAUUCUAUGAAUGAUACAUUGAUAUAUACACAUUAUAGAAGGAUGGAUACAGAGUUUCUUCAGGUCCAUGAAUGAGGUAUUCAGCAGUUGACCUGGAUCAGAAAUGAAGGUAAUUUUUGCCAACUCUUCAGACUUGAGCUCAUUCACUAGGAUCCCCAUGAUUGAAGAAAAGAACAAACUUCAGACAACUUGUCUCAGAUUUUUAUAUAGUUAAGAUUUCCUGGUCUUGGUCCUAGGAAGGAAGGAUAUCUUGCUUUCCAAUUCUUGUUUAUCCUAUAAUCCUCUCUGCUGCAUUCAUGCAAAUAGAUUACUGUGCAUUUCUUUAAUAGGUUACAAUUGCUAUUUUAAUUAUGUUGCCAAGAACUAUAGAAAAAAAGAAGGACUGUAUCAAAGCAUCAUAUGAAAAUCCGACUAAGGUAAUGUGGCCAUUGGAAAUUUGUAACUGACCUGAAACUCUUACUAGAGACAAAAUGCCAUAAACGGUCUUCUCUAGAUAUCUGGUGUAGUAGUUGGUGUUCCCCAACAGACAGUAAAGGAUGAAUCUCUCUGUACAGAGAAAUCGGAGUAGUCACAAUGAUCACAGACUAUGGAACACAUAAUUUAACAAUGACUGACUAUUUUUAAAGUCCUAGAAUCCAUUAGUUUAUUAGUCCAAAAGGCAAGAUGUCUUAUCUGGUCAUUGACAUAUGGAUAAAUAUUCAGUGUGCAGGUUCUAAUGUCUAUGAGGAUUUGGUAUCACUGUGAGUGCAAAAAUGAAAAAGUAAAGGCUUCUUUCUUCCAUGUUUUCUACGGGGAUUCAAAUAGAAUGCAUGGUUUAGAAUACAUUGGGUUUGCCAUUCUCAAACAGACCAAUAUCUUCAACUGAACAUUCUUUUCUUGGAAGCUGCACCCUGUCAGCAUGGCUCACGUGUAUGUGAACUGCAAGAUCUAGUCUGGAAGGCGGUCCUGUUCAUCGAUCCAACCUGCCCCUAAUACUGAAAUACCCAAGACUUCCUCAAUCAACUCCUUUGCAAACAUGGUCUUCUGGGAUUUGAAGGCAUUACAUCUACUAACAACACCAAUGCAAUUCAAGAUUACUUUCAACAGCUCCCUGGAGUGAGAAUUGUUCCUUGGGUCCUUAUAUGUAGAGAAAGACUGCAUAGGCAGACACAGUGAUCUAAUCUACCUGCAACAGAAUGAAGAGAUGAUGAUGUGGCUGAAGCAGAUUGGAGCUCUGCAUUUAUUAAAGGGAUGGCAGUAAAAGCCCAUGCUGACAGCAGACAUUCAGACAUGCUGAAGCCAUGCUGAGACUUGAUGUUUGUCACUGAUGAUGUCAGUAUUUUCUUAUGACUGGGAUUUUCAACAAAUUGGCUUUCAUUCUAUUCCUCAUUCCAAAAAAUCUUUUGCUGUAGGCCUCAAACCAUGGGGCAGGGAAACUUAAGAGACAACAGAGGAUUGAUAAUCCAGUCUUCAUUCACUGACUUGUCUCUACCUCUAAGUCCAUGUUUCACAAUCCAGUGCAUUUAAAUCUCCAGGGAAUCAGUUACUGUUUCUCUACCAUGCUGGUCUGCUGAAGUCAUUUUACAGAAGUCCACUUCCUAGUAAUUAUUAAAGCAAUGAAUAUUUUGAAGUUGUUUAUGAUCUACACACAGGCUUUUUACGCCCCAAGCAUGUACCAUCCCACUUCUGCAUUUGUAGCUCUCAGCCAGUGUUCUCGACCUAUCCAUCCAGCAACCCUUAGAUUCCACACUUUGUAUGAGGAUAAUAUUUGAAAAAACAGAAGAAUAGCUGUAGCAUAGUUGUUCUUCACUGAAGCCAUAUUAACACAGACGGCAGAGCAUAUGAUGCAUUCAUCUCUGUUUGUAGUGUUUAAUUCCCCGUAAAGUCCCAAACAAUUGAGAGUUGAUUCUGUCAGAGUAUCAGCAAAGUCAAAUAGGAAAUGCAAAAUUUCAGAAUUCUCCUGCCAAAGAUGUUUGUGAAAGAAGUUGUUUGCAAAACACUGUCUUAAUAAAUUUAUUCCAUUCUCACUUUGAUAUUUUGCUUUGAUGUCUUGAAGUGACGUUUAAUUAUCACUGAAAUGCAGGUCCCCUCUAUAGUCUCCAGUAAGAAGAAUUCAUUCCUCAAAAGGAUGUAUCUGCAGAUGCCUGAAAAAAUAAUAGAAAGAAUAUUUCUUGAUAAAGAUCUAGGUUAAAGUUGAAACAUCCUACCACAAAGAUACAUAUAAGAAGUUCAUUUGACAUUGACCUUAUAUUAUGCAGAAAUUCUUCACAUAUUCCCUCUAUCGUUGGGGUUUAAUUAAUCUCCAAUGAAUAGUUGACAAUGAAGAGUAGCCUUUAGAAUCAUUUUACCCUUUUAAGUAAUAGUUUUAAGCAAAUGGAACACUAAAAGAUCACAAAGAAGAAAUGGUUAUAAUCAAAAGAUACAUGUGGGACAGUCUAACUCUCAUGGUCAAGAUGACUUUGCACAUGCUCCUUAUGGUCAUGGAUUGCUCUCAUAAUACUCUGCAGAAGGUUGUUCCUACUGCCUCACUUUAAGCUCCAGGAAUUCCAAGCUACCAGAGCUGUUCAAGUUCCCUUACAAUGCACUUGAAAGCCACAUAUGCUUAGGAACUUUUGAUGUGCUUUAGCUCUAUUGUCAGGUUUUUUUAAGCCUCUACCAAAUAGCAAGCUGUCCUUUUUACCCCCUUCUCAACACCUCUAAAUCUGCCCUACUCAAUUUCUCAAUUGACAUUAGUCAUAGCUCAGCACCCCAAAUAUGCAGUCAUCUUACUGUGUUUUUAACAUCCUGCCUGCUACACCAAUGGCCACUCCAUACUAGAUCUCACAUGACUGGUAACUCUUGCUCCACCCUAAAUCCUUUCUCCAUCCUUGUGUCUACUAGCCUGUUGGUAGAAAUCCACACAACUGAUUGGCCAAGAGCAUCUUUAUUGAACUAUACAGAAUCAAUUUGGGAACAGGACCUUCAGUGUUCGCAGUAUGAUUCCCGAUCUACGAAUCAAAACAAUAGCAAACAAGACUCAAUCCAUGUCUCUGGUUUUGGGAGGGAGAUAGAGCACUUUGAUUCAGAGUUGAAAUUUAAAUAAUUAUAAUAUAUAUGUAGUAUUAAUUAUGCCAGGAUAAAAGGAUCCAAAAAGUGGAAAUGGGCAACAUUAAAGGCAAGAGAAAAAUCCCUAGUACAGCAAAAAAUGUGGACCUGUUAGAAAGACUGGUCUCUUUCCAGCCAUCUGAAUUUGUACUUGAAAUUCUUCUAACCACUCUUGAUCUCUGCAUGUAGAAAAGAACAAAAAGAAAAAGAAAACAAAAUAAAACAAAAAAUCAUUAAAAUGAAACCAAAAGCAAAAGAAAUAGCUAAUCAACCCAAUCCUAAAAGAAGAGGACCGAGUGAAGAUUGCUUGAGGUCCUCAUUUUUAACUACAACUACAAGUCACCAAUAGAUUUCAAUGCAAAAGUUUGUCAUUAUUUUAUUUGAAACUUCUCUGUGGGUCAAAGAAACAAGGUUUAUAAGCUGCAACAACAGGAAAGAGAAAAAAAAUCAUACUGUAGAGCUCAACACUGAUAUUACUAUGGUGACUGUGGGCAAUGCAGAGAAUAUUGGUGUUUGACAACGGGUUUUGUGGUUUUCUAUAUGCUGGCAAUAUCUAUGACUCUGAAAUGAAUUAGAGUCAUCACCAAAUCAUCACUAAAUGAACUGCUCCUUUCUUUGGAGCACAAGAUCUGGCAAACUGUUGACUGACUAUGAUUUUUAACUUGGAUCUAGCCUCUGUGGUAAAGCUAAGGCUUCUGAUGGAAAAUCCUCCACCAAAAUACUGGACUAUCAAUUGUGCUGCCAGCCAAAAACCAAGUCCUGACUCUACCCUGCAAUCCAGAAGAGGUUUCAAAGUGUCAAACAUAACAAUAUUUUAAUUGUGGCUUUGUCUUUUUUUCACUUUUUAUUUUAAAUAAAGUGUGAUUUCUGGCAUAAUUCCUUCUAAGUUCUUCCUCACAUAGAACUUCACUUUUGACCUCAAAUUCCAUUCAUGAAGGGGUACUCUUAUCUUUCGUUGGCUAAGUUUUCUAUUUUGCUUUUAUGGCUUGCUGUGAUUGCUUAUUGUGACUGUCUAAAUGAUGCAUUAUUGAGCAACUGACUCCAUAAGAAUGGCUUGCGGGCAUCAGUAUUUUGCAUUUUCUUGAUGGUUAGUUUAUGUAAGGUGACUUAGCCCACUGUGGAUGGUAACAGCACUAGUAAGCUGAGGAGGUUACAGAGAAAAGGUAGCUGAGCAGAUUAGUAAGCAGAGUUCCUCUUUAUUUU